UCCCUGGUAGCUCAAACAGUAAAGCGUCUGCCUACAAUGCGGGGGACCCAGGUUCGAUCCCUGGGUUGGGAA
rfam:Ovis aries breed Texel chromosome 10, whole genome shotgun sequence.